rnacentral:misc_RNA from 1 species
GAUGAAGAACGUAGCGAAAUGUGAUAAGUAAUGUGAAUUGCAGAAUUCAGUGAAUCAUCGAAUCUUUGAACGCACAUUGCGCCCCCUGGUAUUCCGGGGGGCAUGCCUGUUCGAGCGUCAUUUCACCACUCAAGCCUCGCUUGGUAUUGGGCAUCGCGGUCCGCCGCGUGCCUCAAAUCGACCGGCUGGGUCUUCUGUCCCCUAAGCGUUGUGGAAACUAUUCGCUAAAGGGUGUUCGGGAGGCUACGCCGUAAAACAACCCCAUUUCUAAGGUUGACCUCGGAUCAGGUAGGGAUACCCGCUGAACUUAAGCAUAUCAAUAAGCGGAGGA